rnacentral:rRNA from 1 species
ACAACUUUCAGCAACGGAUAUCUUGGCUCUCGCAACGAUGAAGAACGCAGCGAAGUGCGAUAAGCAGUGCGAAUUGCAGAAUUCAGUGAAUCAUCAGAACUUUGAACGCAUCUUGCGCUCUCGGGAUAUGCCUGGGAGCAUGUCUGUUUCAGUGUCUUUAAAGAUCCUCAAAGCCCCGGCUUUGGAGAAUGAGCGUCAAUAUUUAUUGUUGUCGCUUCAAGUAUAUGGUCGGGAACUACGCAAAAGUUCUCUUCACUAUGCAGUGCAGUAGUCACGCCUCGCGUGAAUCUCAUUGCGAGUGAAGUAGGAACUGUAGUUUCGUCUGGCUCUAAUACUCUCUUAUUGAGACCUGAAAUCAGGCAAGAUUACCCGCUGAAUUUAAGCAUAUAACUAAGCGGAGGAAAAGAAACUAACAAGGAUCCCCUGAGUAACGGCGAGUGAAACGGGAAAAGCUCAACUUUAAAAUCUGGGUCCUUCGGACUCCGAAUUGUAGUCUAUAGGUGCAAAACCAUGUGAGUGUGUAGGUAUAAGUCUCCUGGAAUGGAGUAUCAUAGAGGGUGAGAAUCCCGUCUUUGACUUGCAUUACUUGCUUACGGUUUGUUACCAACGAGUCGGGUUGUUUGGGAAUGCAGCCCUAAAUGGGUGGUAAAUUUCAUCUAAAGCUAAAUAUUGGCGAGAGACCGAUAGCGAACAAGUACCGUGAGGGAAAGAUGAAAAGAACUUUGAAAAGAGAGUUAAAAGUGCUUGAAAUUGCUGAAAGGGAAGCGAUUGAAACCAGUGUUGCAGCUGUUAGAUUAAGUUAUCUGCUAAAGUUGCUGUGUUGUGGUCACCGCAAGGGGCCCGGUGUAGUAUACGUAGGUAGAGAAAUGCUAUUCUAGCGGUUGCGGGUCAAGAUCAGUUUGAGUGGUGGGUUAAG